rnacentral:rRNA from 1 species
GAUGAACGCUGGCGGCGUGCCUAAUACAUGCAAGUCGAACGAAGAUCCAGCUUGCUAGAUCUUAGUGGCGAACGGGUGAGUAAUACAUAAAUAAUCUGCCCAUAUGACUGGGAUAACUACUGGAAACGAUAGCUAAUACCGGAUAGGUUGAUUGGAGGCAUCUCUGAUUAAUUAAAGUAGGAUUUCUACACAAAUGGAUGAGUUUAUGGCGCAUUAGUUAGUUGGUGGGGUAACGGCCUACCAAGACGAUGAUGCGUAGCCGACCUGAGAGGGUGACCGGCCACACUGGGACUGAGACACGGCCCAGACUCCUACGGGAGGCAGCAGUAGGGAAUUUUCGGCAAUGGGCGCAAGCCUGACCGAGCAACGCCGCGUGAGUGAUUAAGGCCUUCGGGUUGUAAAGCUCUGUUGUAAGGGAAGAACAUUCAGGAUAGGAAAUGAUCUUGAACUGACGGUACCUUACCAGAAAGCCACGGCUAACUACGUGCCAGCCGCCGCCAUAA